rnacentral:lncRNA from 1 species
UAUAUGAUAAAAUCAUCUUCCUUCAUGGCAAAGGAGAGAGACUGCAAAACUAUAACGAGGAUUUCUCUACAUUGUUGUUAAUUAUAAGGUUGAUAAUAUAAUGUGGAAUUUUAUCCCACAAAAAAAAAAAAAAAAAAAUUGUGAUAGGGAAGAUUCUAUUAAAAUCACCAAAUUUUCUGCGUUUUUUAUAUAUAAGAAAAAAUACAGAAACUAAUUAUGUCAUCCAUAUACUGUAAGUACAAACAACAGCUGUCAUGUUUCCGUACUUGACUGUGAAAUUGAUGAUGCUU